UACGGAGGGUGCAAGCGUUAAUCGGAAUUACUGGGCGUAAAGCGCGCGUAGGCGGCUUGGUAAGUCGAUUGUGAAAUCCCCGGGCUCAACCUGGGAAUUGCAGUCGAGACUGCUUGGCUAGAGUGUGGGAGAGGGUGGUGGAAUUCCCGGUGUAGCGGUGAAAUGCGUAGAUAUCGGGAGGAACAUCAGUGGCGAAGGCGACCACCUGGCCCAACACUGACGCUGAGGUGCGAAAGCGUGGGUAGCAAACAGGAUUAGAUACCCUGGUAGUCCACGCCGUAAACGAUGUCAACUAGCCGUUGGAGACCUUAGAGUCUUUAGUGGCGCAGCUAACGCACUAAGUUGACCGCCUGGGGAGUACGGCCGCAAGGUUAAA
rnacentral:rRNA from 1 species